AUUGAACGCUAGCGGCAUGCCUAACACAUGCAAGUCGAACGGCAGCACGAGGAGCUUGCUCCUUGGUGGCGAGUGGCGGACGGGUGAGUAACGCGUAGGAAUCUACCUUAUAGUGGGGGAUAACCCGGGGAAACUCGGGCUAAUACCGCAUAAUCUCUACGGAGCAAAGUGGGGGACCUUUUAGGCCUCACGCUAUUAGAUGAGCCUGCGUCGGAUUAGCUAGUUGGUGGGGUAAAGGCCUACCAAGGCGACGAUCCGUAGCUGGUCUGAGAGGACGACCAGCCACACUGGGACUGAGACACGGCCCAGACUCCUACGGGAGGCAGCAGUGGGGAAUAUUGGACAAUGGGCGCAAGCCUGAUCCAGCAAUGCCGCGUGUGUGAAGAAGGCCCUCGGGUUGUAAAGCACUUUUAGUGGGGAAGAAAAAGUCGGAGAUAAUAUCUCCGAAAAUUGACGUUACCCACAGAAAAAGCACUGGCUAACUCUGUGCCAGCCGCCGCCGUAA
rnacentral:rRNA from 1 species